GCAAAACCGAUGAGAAAGAGAAGUAAGUUUUAAGAGAUAUCACAGAGAGCAGCAGUGGGUGAGAUUGCUGUAUGGAUUUUAAUUCUGAAUGGACUUUCGAGGGCGGCCUGAAAUGAGAAGAGUAGGCGCCGUCGGGAACCAAACCCGUUAUCAAUCAGGAACGUAUGUAGUACGUGAUAAAGUGGACAAUUCGUCAAUUUGAGUGGUACCGCGAUAAUAAAACUGUAUUUUAUUACCGUCUCAAGC
rnacentral:ncRNA from 1 species